GUUUGACCUCAUAACUGCUCUCAUAUCUGACAAACCGAGGGGUUCUGGCUCUGCAGCAGCUGGAAAGUUUGACACUUCAGUUAUCGCCCUGAAUGACAUCACCACAUGAAUAUGACCACAACAUGUCACACAUGCAGGGGCAUGUCCAGAGGGGUGGCAUGGGCCCCCCCUUGAAAUCUGGUUGUCCACCCCAAAGCUAAAUUAUUAGCUAUUUUCCUGGAGAGUUUUUCUUUUGUCUCUUUUUUUGCCCUUUAUUGUUCUUGCCUGCCCCCCUGCCACAUCCUCUGCUGUAGGAUUAUGAGCCAUACUGCUUCUCUUUGGACAAUUAACCCCCUCAAGACCAGCUCCUGGGUUUGUUGUGUUGCACUUGGGUCCGGCCAUUAGUGGCAUCUUAACAGUAUUACUCAUAACCGAGAAAAAUACAAUGGCUAAGGAGAAUCCAAUGUUACGCUAAUGUUGCCUGUAAAGGACCCAGAAGUCUGUUGAAGUGUCUAUUUUUAUUUGAAAUGUAUUUUUUUGUGAUAAAAGGUUUGUGAUAACUUCCUGUUAGUUACAUCAAAAAGACGGAUGCUCUUAUUUUGAAAGGAUAAUGACAGGAAGUGAAGAUAAAGGGAACGUCUAGGGACACAGUGAAAACUGCUUGCAUGCGGGUUCAAAACGAUAAUUACUACGGUGACUUACUUUGAUUAAAGAGGACAUAUUAUCCUCCUUGUCCACUUUU